CAGCCGCCACGGUAAUACGAGGGGGGCAAGCGUUGUUCGGAAUUAUUGGGCGUAAAGGGCGCGUAGGCGGUUUGGCAAGUUUGGUGUGAAAUCUUCGGGCUCAACUCGAAGUCUGCAUCGAAAACUGCCGGGCUUGAGUAUGGGAGAGGUGAGUGGAAUUUCCGGUGUAGCGGUGAAAUGCGUAGAUAUCGGAAGGAACACCUGUGGCGAAAGCGGCUCACUGGACCAUUACUGACGCUGGGGCGCGAAAGCUAAGGGAGCAAACAGGAUUAGAUACCCCUGUAGUCCCUGUCUCUUAUAC
rnacentral:rRNA from 1 species